GAAUAGGCCCUCCAAGCCGUUGCCACUUGUUUUGCUAGCAUUCACCAAGAGAUCUGCUUCUAAGAUUUUCAGGUCAUCUAGAUGUUGGUGCCAAAGCCCCUGUUGCCACAUCGGAGUUACAACUCUGGUAAACUGGGUUAACUUUAAGCAAUAGGGAAGUGCAUUCAUUUUGGAACAGGUUAACCCGAAUAAACCCCAUUUGGUUUGUUGCACAUUUGUUCCAAAGCAGAAGCCCAAAAGCCACAGAGUCUGCAACUGACAGUUAACUCUUAGCAUGGCCAUGUUAUUUCCUCAGAAUGCCAUGUCAUGUUGGGGCAGAAAAAAAAGGGAAGUCGCGCCUUUUAUUUCCUACACCCACACUCCCAAAAUGCCCAAGAAAGAAAGGUCCUUUUGGUUAUGUCAUACAGGAAACGCAGGAAACUGACUAAAGAAGCUGGAGGGAGAGAGGCUGAGAGCCAUUCCUGGCCUUUUGUGUGCUAGCCAGCCUGCUGCUUUGCUGCCAGAGCCUUCACUGCAGCAGCUAAAAGAGAGACAAUCGUCUGUCUAGAGAGGUUACAGCACAGCACACAUUUCAACCAGCUUUACAGGCAUCCACAAAGAGAAACAAGGAAUAAAAUGUAUGCAUUGGCAAGGCAAGCUGGCAUACACUGUCCUCCUCAGGGAUGUGACGACUUCUCAGCAAACCCUGUGGGAUUUUGUUCUCAGCAAUCCCUGCGGGAUUUACCGACAUUGUUCCCUCUGAUAUACUCCCACCCAUGCAAUGUAGUGUCCCAUCCUGCACAAGGGAUAACACUGAUUUGUGGUUUAUUCUCCUGCAUAUCUCUGUAAAUAAAAUGGGAGGGACCUAACAGAAGCAGAAGACAUCAAGAAGAGGUGCAAGAAUACACAGAGGAAUUAUAUCAGAAAGAUUU
rnacentral:lncRNA from 1 species